rnacentral:misc_RNA from 1 species
UAAAAAUGAUCGGUGUAAUGAAAUUAAAUCAUGCUCUAUAUGUUCAAAAGGUACUCUGAGUCACCAAGAUUACACAAGAAUAUUCAUCACAAUGAGCAAACUGAUGCAACAAGGUUGCGAAAUGCAUAGACAAUCAAAGAAUGAUCAAAUAGUCUUAGCAUCAGGAACUGUAAAGUUUUUGUCCACAAUCAAUUCAGUCAGAAAUCAAUGAAAAUGGAAUCAAACAAGCAUCCCAUUUGUUCCCAGGAAAAAUGAUGUGAAACUAAUUCUAAAAGCUAACUUACCAGAAGUUCAUUCAUAUCACUAGA